GUGAACGCUUGCGGUAGGCCUAACACAUGCUAGUCGCACGGCAGCACAGUAAGAGCUUGCUCUUACGGGUGGCGAGUGGCGGACGGGUGAGGAAUACAUCGGAAUCUACUUUUUCGUGGGGGAUAACGUAGGGAAACUUACGCUAAUACCGCAUACGACCUACGGGUGAAAGCAGGGGAUCUUCGGACCUUGCGCGAUUGAAUGAGCCGAUGUCGGAUUAGCUAGUUGGCGGGGUAAAGGCCCACCAAGGCGACGAUCCGUAGCUGGUCUGAGAGGAUGAUCAGCCACACUGGAACUGAGACACGGUCCAGACUCCUACGGGAGGCAGCAGUGGGGAAUAUUGGACAAUGGGCGCAAGCCUGAUCCAGCCAUACCGCGUGAGUGAAGAAGGCCUUCGGGUUGUAAAGCCCUUUUGUUGGGAGAGAAAAGCAGCAGGUUAAUACCCCGCUGUUCUGACGGUACCCAAAGAAUAAGCACCGGCUAACUUCGUG
rnacentral:rRNA from 1 species